rnacentral:rRNA from 1 species
UACGUAGGGGGCUAGCGUUGUCCGGAAUCAUUGGGCGUAAAGCGCGUGUAGGCGGUUCGGUAAGUCCGCUGUGAAAGUCGGGGGCUCAACCCUCGGAUGCCGGUGGAUACUGUCGGGCUUGAGUACGGAAGAGGCGAGUGGAAUUCCUGGUGUAGCGGUGAAAUGCGCAGAUAUCAGGAGGAACACCAAUUGCGAAGGCGGCUCGCUGGGACGUUACUGACGCUGAGACGCGAAAGCGUGGGGAGCAAACAGG